GCCUAAAGGAUAAGAUGUCUGGUGAAAA
rnacentral:sRNA from 1 species